GAUGAACGCUAGCUACAGGCUUAACACAUGCAAGUCGAGGGGAAACGACAUUGAAGCUUGCUUCGAUGGGCGUCGACCGGCGCACGGGUGAGUAACGCGUAUCCAACCUACCUCUGACUAAGGGAUAACCCGGCGAAAGUCGGACUAAUACCUUAUGAGGUUUUCUGCAGACAUCUAAUGAAAACGAAAGAUUUAUCGGUCAGUGAUGGGGAUGCGUCUGAUUAGCUUGUUGGCGGGGUAACGGCCCACCAAGGCAACGAUCAGUAGGGGUUCUGAGAGGAAGGUCCCCCACAUUGGAACUGAGACACGGUCCAAACUCCUACGGGAGGCAGCAGUGAGGAAUAUUGGUCAAUGGGCGAGAGCCUGAACCAGCCAAGUAGCGUGCAGGAUGACGGCCCUAUGGGUUGUAAACUGCUUUUAUGUGGGGAUAAAGUGAGCUACGUGUAGUU
rnacentral:rRNA from 1 species